AAAGGGAUAAGGACGAAGAAGUGCAUACCAAACGUUUAAAAACAGCAAAUGUGAUUUCUACUGACUCCGAGCGAUGCUCACUUAAUGCCAAAGCAUCCUUGAAUUGGCUUACCCUUAAUGACGGUCCUUGGAAUUCAGUACUGGACAAAUGGGAAGAUAGUUUUGUUUCACGGAAACAAACACUCUGUGUACCAACAACUGAGUCAAAGCUUAGAAAAUUUGGUGUUUGGCAUCACCUUCAAAAUGACUAUGGGUACCAGUUGAUAGACUUGGUCUUUCGCCAAAAAUUGCCACACAGUGGCAAUGCUAUUGAUCGAUGAAAUACACUGGUAAACGAGAUAUUAGAUUAUCUGCAACACCGUGUUAAUGAUGAGGCUUCAAUGAUAAUUCUGCAGGAUGUCAAAAACGCGAAUACUGGGGAAGAUUCAAGAUUGUGUGCUUUAUUAUUACUUCUGAACUGCGCGCUUUCUCCAGUUAGAGUAAAGGCCGGAUACAAACCAACUAUAACCACUGCACAGACGGACACAAUUCUAUUUGUUGAGGAUGACAGUGGAAUAACGCGAAAAAUCGCAGAGCGUAGCCAAAAACAUAACGAUCUCAAUUUACCAACAUCACCGGUGCUGAUUGCUGUCGGUAGUAACUACAAAACGUUGGGAGGAAAAUUUAUGCCAUCACUUCGUCGCGCAAUCGACGUUCUAAUUAAGUUUGCGGUGAUCACGGGAAUACGACACUCGAAGAUAUCCAAACUAGUUUGGUUGUUCAUCACAAAAUAUGUGUAUAAAGUAUACACACCAGAAAAGUAUGCAUCUGUUGAAAAAUUAAGCAUACAUCUUAGCCUGAUAGAAAAUGUCGACUCGCACCAAAAGUAAUCUUGAAUGCUUCAUCAAGGACUGCACGCUUAAUUUUGCUUCACCGCAAAUAUAUCUAAACCAUUUGAAAGAUUUACAUGGAGUUCCAAAUAACCAUCAAUGUACCUGUACAUACCCUGGAUGUGGACAAAUUUUCCAGAAGUUUUACUCAUUCAAGCGACACAUAAUUAACCACUGUAACGUACAUUCUGAAACAUUUACAGCGUGUAUUGAACCAUCGAGACCAAAGCUGUUACAAGACGAGCAACUGUUCGAUGCACCCACCAGUAGCAGUGCUUUUAAUCAGACUGGGUACGAAAAUGAGCUUUCGGAAAUAACCAGUGCUGCUCUCAUGAAUAUUUUGAAUCUUCAUAAAAGACCAAAUUUCUCACGUACUGAUGUUAUUGAAAUACAGCAAAGCACCCAGCGAUUAUACGGAGUGAUAGCUAAGAAAUUGGAAAAACUGAAUCUCCGGUCUGAUGAUCCAGAUGAUAGUUUUAAGUUUAAUUUUUACACAAAGACAUUGAAGAAUCUAUUCCGUGAAAUUGAUUCGGAACAUAAACUAAUCAAAUAUUUAGAAGAGGUUAAUCUAUUCCAAAAGCCUAUUAUAGAAAAAAUUGAUUUAAGUAGUUCAGAAAUAGACACUGAUGAACAAAAAAGUACAUUAGCACUCAUGCCAAUUAGUUUUCAGAUAAAAAAAAAUUUUGAGACCGGAGAUGUUUUAGGUAAGACACUUUAGCGAAUUGAAGAAUUGGAAAAAUCUUCUGAAUUGUCAUGCUUUAUAAAUGGAAGCGUUUGGAAGGCAAUCAAAGACAAAUACGAUGAUGAUCUCGUUAUACCCGUUAUGCUCUAUGCAGACGAAUUCGAAAUAAACGACAAUCUGUCAUCACACAACAAACGACACUCUAUCUGCGCCGUUUACUAUAGCUUCCCAGUAUUACCCAGAGAGUUUAGCUCUAGACUAUGCAACAUUUUCAUUGCAGGUUUAUUAAAAAAGUGGAUAUAGAUCAAGUAGGAGUCAAUAACUUGUUUGAAAAAUUGUUAUUAGUAUUCAAAAAUUUGGAAACCAAUGGAAUGCAAUUAAAAGUCGGUGAAAACUGUAGAAAAGUUAGGUUUUGUCUAGCAUUGGUGGUAGGAGAUAAUUUGGGACUACAUACGUUAUUUCUGAUGUCAGGAAGCUUCAGUGCAAAUUACUACUGUCGAUUUUGUAAGCGCCAUAAGCAAGAUUUACAAAAAGAUGAAAGCCAAGUUGAAAGUGCGAUGCGUGAUAAAACUAAUUAUUUGCUCGAUGUUCAAAAAAAAUAAUCCCACAGUAACAGGAAUACGUGGAUUUUCAAUAUUCAACAAUCUCCCAUCGUUUAGUAUUGUCAACAACCUUAGUGUAGAUGCUAUGCAUGACUUUUAUAGCAGUGGAGUUGCGAAAUAUGGAAUAACAGAAAUAUUAAACUAUGGCAUAUAUAAAAUGCAAUUCUUAACACUACACGAUGUAAAUACUAGAAGGAGAAUGAUCAGUGCAACUGAAGAAGAUGAGAACCUUGCUAGAAUGCCUGAUAUAGAAGAGAAAUUCGAUUCUGUGAAAAAACACAAAACAGUUAACAUUAGAACUACUGCCAGUGAGAUGAGGUCAUUAGCUCAUUUCUUGACAUUCAUAUUAGGCCCAUAUUUUCCAGUCGCUGAUCCUGUUUGGAAUUACUGCAAAACUUUAGUAGAUUUAAUGAACUUCAGUUUACUUCCAUCGUUCGGUGGAACUGAUAUAAACCAUCUUAAAGAUCUGAUAGCACAACAUCAUAGGCUCUAUAAAGAUUUGUUUGGAGAACCUUAAAACCUAAACAUCAUUUCUUGGUUCAUUAUCCAACAGUAAUUGAAAAGUGUGGUCCUAUAAAUGAAAUGAUGUGUUUUCGAUUUGAAGCAAAACAUUAUGAAAUGAAACGAUACGCUAAUGUUAUUUUUUCUAGAAAAAAUAUCUGUCUAAGUUUAAGUACCAAGGCUGCGUUGCAGUUUUCUUUUCAUGCGCAUGCAAAGGACUUUUUUAUGUCUAAUAUUAAAGGUAAUUUUGUUCUUGUGCCGUUAUCAUCAAGAUCUUAUUUUGCAAACCUUGUUCAUCCGCUUCCUUUUGAAGUACACUGCACAGUGUUUAUUGCCCAUUCAUGUAUAGUUAACAGUAUUAAUUAUAAACAAGGUCUUUUUUUAACAAUAACUAAGAACUGUGUAACAGAGUUGCUUCAAAUCUAUGAGAUACUUAAACUCGGAGAGAUAUUAUAUAUUGCCUGUCAAAUAUGGGAAUGCGGACCGUAUAAUGACCAUUUAUUGGCACAAGAAGCUUUAAAAUCUACGAUGUUGACAAAAAUCUGCAAAAUCGAUUUGUUUGAUGGGCCUCCAAUUUCGACAUACAACGUUAAUAAUCGUUAUUAUAAAAAAAAAGACAAAUAUUUCAAGACCUGCAUUCCGACUAAAGAUA